GCCGCCAUGGUGAAAUUGGUAGACACGCUGCUCU
rnacentral:tRNA from 36 species